rnacentral:rRNA from 1 species
UUAAGCGAAUAAGCGUACACGGUGGAUGCCUAGGCAAUCAGAGGCGAUGAAGGACGUGCUAAUCUGCGAUAAGCGUCGGUAAGGUGAUAUGAACCGUUAUACCCGACGAUUUUCCGAAUGGGGAAACCCAAUAUCCCAUGGAUAUUAUCCUGACAUGAAUACAUAGUGUUAGGAAGCGAACCGGGAGAACUGAAACAUCUCAGUACCCCGAGGAAAAGAAAUCAACCGAGAUUCCCCUAGUAGCGGCGAGCGAACGGGGAAACAGCCCAGAGUCUUAAUCAAUAGCAGCAUCAGGAGAACGGUCUGGAAAGUCCGGCAGUAAAGGGUGAUAGCCCCGUAUCCGAAGAUGCUGUUAUUGUGAACUCGACGAGUAGGGCGGGACACGUGUUAUCCUGGUCUGAAUAUGGGGGGACCAUCCUCCAAGGCUAAAUACUCCUGAUUGACCGAUAGUGAACCAGUACCGUGGAGGGAAAGGCGAAAAGAACCCCGGCGAGGGGAGUGAAAAAGAACCUGAAACCGUGUACGUACAAGCAGUAGGAGCCCCAUCACUCAAGUGCCUCGCACUGAGUGAUUGGCAAAACCACUCGAAAACAGCGCAGCGUUUACCUACAAAAUGGGGUGAUUUUUUCAAGCCGUCGCGCAGUGUACAUAGAAGUACACGAGCAACGGAAGUUAAAAAAAUCGCGCCAGUUUGACAGUAAAAGCAAGCGGGACAUUUGAGGAUGGGGUGACUGCGUACCUUUUGUAUAAUGGGUCAGCGACUUAUAUUCUGUAGCAAGGUUAACCGUAUAGGGGAGCCGUAGGGAAACCGAGUCUUAACUGGGCGAAUGAGUUGCAGGGUAUAGACCCGAAACCCGGUGAUCUAUCCAUGGGCAGGUUGAAGGUUGGGUAACACUAACUGGAGGACCGAACCGACUAAUGUUGAAAAAUUAGCGGAUGACUUGUGGAUGGGGGGUGAAAGGCCAAUCAAACCGGGAGAUAGCUGGUUCUCCCCGAAAGCUAUUUAGGUAGCGCCUCGUGAACUCAUCUUCGGGGGUAGAGCACUGUUUCGACUAGGGGGUCAUCCCGACUUACCAACUCGAUGCAAACUGCGAAUACCGAAGAAUGUUAUCACGGGAGACACACGGCGGGUGCUAACGUCCGUCGUGAAGAGGGAAACAACCCAGACCGCCAGCUAAGGUCCCAAAGUCAUGGUUAAGUGGGAAACGAAGUGGGAAGGCUCAGACAGCCAGGAUGUUGGCUUAGAAGCAGCCAUCAUUUAAAGAAAGCGUAAUAGCUCACUGGUCGAGUCGGCCCGCGCGGAAGAUGUAACGGGGCUAAACCAUGCACCGAAGCUGCGGCAGCAAUACUGUGUAUUGUUGGGUAGGGGGAGCGUUCUGUAAGCCUGCGAAGGUGUACUGUGAGGUAUGCUGGAGGUAUCAGAAGUGCGAAUGCUGACAUAAGUAACGAUAAUGCGGGUGAAAAACCCGCACGCCGGAAGACCAAGGGUUCCUGUCCAACGUUAAUCGGGGCAGGGUGAGUCGACCCCUAAGGCGAGGCUGAAAAGCGUAGUCGAUGGGAAACGGGUUAAUAUUCCCGUACUGGUGGUAACUGCGAUGGGGGAACGGAGAAGGCUAGGUUGUCCGGGCGACGGUCGUCCCGGUUCAAGCAUGUAGGCAGAGUGACUAGGCAAAUCCGGUCACUUAAUGCUGAGGUGUGAUGACGAACCACUAAGGUGGUGAAGCAAUUGAUGCCCUGCUUCCAGGAAAAGCCUCUAAGCUUCAGGUUACCAACAAUCGUACCCCAAACCGACACAGGUGGUCAGGUAGAGAAUACUCAGGCGCUUGAGAGAACUCGGGUGAAGGAACUAGGCAAAAUGGUGCCGUAACUUCGGGAGAAGGCACGCUGGCGGUAAGUGAAGUCCCUCGCGGACGGAGCCGAAGCCAGUCGAAGAUACCAGCUGGCUGCAACUGUUUAUUAAAAACACAGCACUGUGCAAACACGAAAGUGGACGUAUACGGUGUGACGCCUGCCCGGUGCUGGAAGGUUAAUUGAUGGGGUUAUCCUUAGGGAGAAGCUCUUGAUCGAAGCCCCAGUAAACGGCGGCCGUAACUAUAACGGUCCUAAGGUAGCGAAAUUCCUUGUCGGGUAAGUUCCGACCUGCACGAAUGGCGUAAUGAUGGCCAGGCUGUCUCCACCCGAGACUCAGUGAAAUUGAACUCGCUGUGAAGAUGCAGUGUACCCGCGGCAAGACGGAAAGACCCCGUGAACCUUUACUAUAGCUUGACACUGAACAUUGAGCCUUGAUGUGUAGGAUAGGUGGGAGACUAUGAAGUGUGGACGCCAGUCUGCAUGGAGUCAACCUUGAAAUACCACCCUUUAACGUUUGAUGUUCUAACCUAGGCCCGUAAUCCGGGUCGGGGACCGUGUCUGGUGGGUAGUUUGACUGGGGCGGUCUCCUCCUAAAGAGUAACGGAGGAGCACGAAGGUUGGCUAAGCAUGGUCGGACAUCAUGCGGUUAGUGCAAAGGCAUAAGCCAGCUUGACUGUGAGAGUGACGGCUCGAGCAGGUACGAAAGUAGGUCUUAGUGAUCCGGUGGUUCUGAAUGGAAGGGCCAUCGCUCAACGGAUAAAAGGUACUCCGGGGAUAACAGGCUGAUACCGCCCAAGAGUUCAUAUCGACGGCGGUGUUUGGCACCUCGAUGUCGGCUCAUCACAUCCUGGGGCUGAAGUAGGUCCCAAGGGUAUGGCUGUUCGCCAUUUAAAGUGGUACGCGAGCUGGGUUUAGAACGUCGUGAGACAGUUCGGUCCCUAUCUGCCGUGGGCGUUGGAAGAUUGAGAGGGGUUGCUCCUAGUACGAGAGGACCGGAGUGAACGCACCACUGGUGUUCGGGUUGUCAUGCCAAUGGCAUUGCCCGGUAGCUAAGUGCGGAAGAGAUAACCGCUGAAAGCAUCUAAGCGGGAAACUUGCCUCAAGAUGAGUCUUCCCUGUCACCUUGAGUGACCUAAAGGAACGUUUAAGACUAAGACGUUGAUAGGCUGGGUGUGUAAGCGUAGCGAUACGUUGAGCUAACCAGUACUAAUGAACCGUGAGGCUUAACCUG